AUGAUUUCACUAGUCGUCACUUUGUUAUCCUAUCAGUCCGUGUCCCAUGAACUAAAUGAUGAUCCGGAAGGUGAACGGUAGGGGUUACUCUUCUGAUCUUCCUCAAAAUUCUAUCUUGACUAAGGUAAAAUGAGGUCUUGAUGUAUGUCAAUGUUGAUUAAUUGGAUGUGAUAACCCGGCCCAAUUGAGACCCAAAACCAGCUCAAAACCCAC
rnacentral:lncRNA from 1 species